rnacentral:rRNA from 1 species
GACGAACCGUGCGAACGUUAUUCGGAAUCACUGGGCUUAAAGCGCGUGUAGGCGGGACGGCACGUCGGUCGCUGAAAGCCCCCGGCUCAACCGGGGAAGGGGCACCGAUACGACCGCCCUGGAGGGACGUAGGGGGACCUGGAACUUCCGGUGGAGCGGUGAAAUGCGUUGAGAUCGGAAGGAACGCCCGUGGCGAAAGCGAGGUCCUGGACGUUUUCUGACGCUGAGACGCGAAAGCCAGGGGAGCGAACGGG